AGAGUUUGAUCCUGGCUCAGGAUGAACGCUGGCGGCGUGCUUAACACAUGCAAGUCGAACGGGAUCCCUGGCGCUUGCGCCGGGGUGAGAGUGGCGAACGGGUGAGUAAUGCGUGACCAACCUGCCCCAUGCACCGGAAUAGCUCCUGGAAACGGGUGGUAAUGCCGGAUGCUCCAGAUGACCGCAUGGGAUUCUGGGAAAGCUUUUGCGGCAUGGGAUGGGGUCGCGUCCUAUCAGCUUGUUGGUGGGGUGAUGGCCCACCAAGGCUUCGACGGGUAGCCGGCCUGAGAGGGCGACCGGCCACAUUGGGACUGAGAUACGGCCCAGACUCCUACGGGAGGCAGCAGUGGGGAAUAUUGCGCAAUGGGCGAAAGCCUGACGCAGCGACGCCGCGUGCGGGAUGGAGGCCUUCGGGUUGUAAACCGCUUUUAUCGGGGAGCAAGCGAGAGUGAGUGUACCCGUUGAAUAAGCACCGGCUAACUACGUGCCAGCAGCCGCGGUAAUACGUAGGGUGCAAGCGUUAUCCGGAUUUAUUGGGCGUAAAGGGCUCGUAGGCGGUUCGUCGCGUCUGGUGUGAAAGUCCAUCGCUUACGGUGGAUCUGC
rnacentral:rRNA from 2 species